UCGAAUCCUCCGGGGGGAAGGUCUUCCUCGGGAGACUUUUCCCCCUUCUCUCUCUCUCUCUCUCACACCUCUGUGCACCUCUGGUAGGCGGUCCCUCGGGACUUCCUACGUAAUCAAACCACUCGCAUGUCCAUAGAAUGUCUAGUCAAGCGUCGUCCGGUCGGAACCCCAUCGAACGGGGAUCGGUCGGCGGCCGACUUAACCUUUUGAUA
rnacentral:misc_RNA from 1 species